rnacentral:misc_RNA from 1 species
UCUUUUUUUUCUUUUUUUUUU